rnacentral:rRNA from 1 species
GGAUUAGAUACCCUGGUAGUCCACGCCGUAAACGAUGUCAACUAGCCGUUGGGAGCCUUGAGCUCUUAGUGGCGCAGCUAACGCAUUAAGUUGACCGCCUGGGGAGUACGGCCGCAAGGUUAAAACUCAAAUGAAUUGACGGGGGCCCGCACAAGCGGUGGAGCAUGUGGUUUAAUUCGAAGCAACGCGAAGAACCUUACCAGGCCUUGACAUCCAAUGAACUUUCUAGAGAUAGAUUGGUGCCUUCGGGAACAUUGAGACAGGUGCUGCAUGGCUGUCGUCAGCUCGUGCC